AUCAAAAACAUGGCUUCUUGCUUUUUUAAAUAAAAGAGGUUUGGCCUGCCCGGUGAAAAUUUAAACGGUCGCAGCUGCUACUGUGCGAAGGUAGCGCAAUAGAUUGUCCUUUAAUUGGGGGAAAGUAUGAAUGGUUAGAUGGUUGGAAGGACUUUAUUUGGAGUAUGUGUCGAAAUUUACUUUAAAGUGAAAAGGCUUUAAUAAAUUUAUUAGACGAGAAGACCCUGUUGAGCUUAAUAUUACUAACUCGUAGGCGGGUUAGUGGUACAUUUAUUCGGGGCUGAAAAGAAGGAAAAGUUAUGCCUUUUACUUUGUAUAAAGAUCCAAUAAGAUUGAGUAGUAGAAGAUAGUUACCACAGGGAUAACAGCGCAAUCUUCUUGAUAAGAUCUUAUUUAAGGGAAGGAUUGCGACCUCGAUGUUGAAUCAGAAUUUCUAUUUGGUGCAGAAGCUAGGUAAGUAGGACUGUUCGUCCUUUAAAAUUCUACGUGAUCUGAGGUUCAGACCCGG
rnacentral:rRNA from 1 species